rnacentral:ncRNA from 1 species
AAAGGGGUGCCCUGCGUUGCGGGCUGAGAUCAUACCCUACGAACCUGAUGCGGUUAGUACCGCCGAAGGGAUUGUGAUGGAAUU